rnacentral:rRNA from 1 species
GAUUUACUUCGGUAAUGACGUUGGGAAAGCGAGCGGCGGAUGGGUGAGUAACACGUGGGGAACCUGCCCCUAAGUCUGGGAUACCAUUUGGAAACAGGUGCUAAUACCGGAUAAUAAAGCAGAUCGCAUGAUCAGCUUUUGAAAGGCGGCGUAAGCUGUCGCUAAGGGAUGGCCCCGCGGUGCAUUAGCUAGUUGGUAAGGUAACGGCUUACCAAGGCGACGAUGCAUAGCCGAGUUGAGAGACUGAUCGGCCACAUUGGGACUGAGACACGGCCCAAACUCCUACGGGAGGCAGCAGUAGGGAAUUUUCCACAAUGGACGCAAGUCUGAUGGAGCAACGCCGCGUGAGUGAAGAAGGUUUUCGGAUCGUAAAGCUCUGUUGUUGGUGAAGAAGGAUAGAGGUAGUAACUGGCCUUUAUUUGACGGUAAUCAACCAGAAAGUCACGGCUAACUACGUGCCAGCAGCCGCGGUAAUACGUAGGUGGCAAGCGUUGUCCGGAUUUAUUGGGCGUAAAGCGAGCGCAGGCGGAAAAAUAAGUCUAAUGUGAAAGCCCUCGGCUUAACCGAGGAACUGCAUCGGAAACUGUUUUUCUUGAGUGCAGAAGAGGAGAGUGGAACUCCAUGUGUAGCGGUGGAAUGCGUAGAUAUAUGGAAGAACAC